rnacentral:rRNA from 1 species
UACGAACUGUGCGAACGUUAUUCGGAAUCACUGGGCUUACAGGGUGCGUAGGCGGCCGCGCAAGUCUGGCGUGAAAGCCCCGGGCUCAGCCCGGGAAGGGCGCUCGAAACGGCGCGGCUCGAGUGCCGGAGGGGAGAGUGGAAUUCCUGGUGUAGCGGUGAAAUGCGUAGAUAUCAGGAGGAAUACCGGUGGCGAAAGCGACUCUCUGGACGGCAACUGACGCUGAGGCACGAAAGCGUGGGGAGCAAACAGG